rnacentral:rRNA from 1 species
UGGGGAAUUUUGGACAAUGGGCGAAAGCCUGAUCCAGCAAUGCCGCGUGAGUGAAGAAGGCCCUAGGGUUGUAAAGUCCUUUCGGUGGUGAAGAUAAUGACGGUAACCACAGAAGAAGCCCCGGCUAACUUCGUGCCAGCAGCCGCGGUAAUACGAAGGGGGCUAGCGUUGUUCGGAAUUACUGGGCGUAAAGCGCGCGUAGGCGGCUUUGCAAGCCAGAGGUGAAAUGCCUGAGCUCAACUUAGGAAUUGCCUUUGGGACUGCGAGGCUUCGAGGACUGGAGAGGUGAGUGGAAUUCCCAGUGUAGAGGUGAAAUUCGUAGAUAUUGGGAAGAACACCAGUGGCGAAGGCGGCUUACUGGUCCGACACUGACGCUGAGGCGCGAAAGCGUGGGGAGCAAACAGGAUUAGAUACCCAAGUAGUCCCUGAGCGGGCUGGCAAGGCGCAU